rnacentral:lncRNA from 1 species
UGUGCUCGUUAACCCUUCAUCAGUCUCAACAAACAACACAGGAUAGUGACACUAUAAUUUUCUACGUGGUGUUUGAGCCAGAAUAGUAGGGACUGCCCUAAAUCUUGUAAUCUGAGCAGAGUUAGGUCAACCAGGAGUCCUAUUCAGUGACAAUCAAAUUCCAUAAUAAUCGUUUUAAUAGUUAUGCCUAUUUUAGUGAGAGGACUUGGCAACUGAUUAGUCCCCUUAUUAAUCAGAGACCCUGAUGUAGCAUCUCCCUGAAUAAAUAACAUAUGAUUCUGACUUCUCCCACCAUCAUUUCUACUCCUGCUUCCUCAACAGUGGAAACCAGCACUGGCACAGGAUAAGCCACCUUUAGGCAGAAAUCUUGAGCACGCAGGAGCCUCUGUAGAUUUUGCCAUUUUCUCAUUACACCUAGUAGGUGUCUCAUCAACCUUAGAAGCUAUUAAUUUAUUACAAUUAUUAACAUUAAACCACCAGCCGUGUCCCAAUCUCAGGCACCACUAUUUGUCUGAUAAAUGCUAAUCACAGCUGUAUUAUCUCUUCUCUCCCACUCUGUUCUAACAGCCAUAUUCUUAAAAGACUGAAACCCUAAUAUCACUUUUUAAAAAAAUCUAGCUGCAAGAGAUCUAAUUUUAUAUCAACAUUUAUUCUUAUUUUUUUGCCACCUGGAAGUGUAUAUUCUUAUCUUCCCUGGCUUUGAAAUAAUCUCACAUAUUAUAACCUAUAAUCCUGGGGAAAAAGAACCAUUUGGUUAUAUAGGAAUGGUGUGAGCCGUGAUAUUAAUUGGUUUUCUAGGCUUUAUCAUAUGGGCUCAUCGUAUAUUUACAAUAGGGAUAGACAUUGACAUUCAAGCAUAUUUUACACCGGCCACUAUAAUCACUGCUAUUCCCAUAGGAGUUAGGGUUCAGCCAACUGGCAACCCCGUGCAGAAGUAACAUUAAAUGAUCUCCAGCUAUAUUAUGAGCUUUAGGCUUUAUCUUCUUAUUUACAGUUGGAGGCCUCAUAGAAAUGGCAUCAGCUGACUCAUUGCUAGACAUUGCUCUUCACAAAACAUAUUAUGUGGCAGCACAUUUCCACUAUGUUCUAUCAAUAGGAGCAGCCUUUGCCAUUAUAAGAGGAUUUGUUCACUGAUUCCCACUAUUUUCAGGUUACACACUCAAUUCAACCCAAGCCAAAAUUUAUUUUAGCAUUUUAUUUGUAGGUAUUAAUUUAGCUUGCUUUCCACAAUAAUUCCUUAAUUUAUCAAGAAUUCUCUGAGUUACUCCAAUUACCCUGAUGCAUAUAAAACAUGCAAUUCCAUCUCAUUGAUAGGCUUAUAUAUUUCAUCAAUGACAGUAAUAUUAAUAAUCUUCACAAUCUGAGAGACUUUCAUGGUAGUGGAAGGAAGCCAAGAACUGCCAAGAAAG